UGAGGGAAAGUAAUUGGCACAAAUGGAGGGAAACUCUGAUGCAGCAACGCCGCGUGGAGGAUGACGCAUUUCGGUGUGUAAACUCCUUUUAUGAGUCAAGAAAAUGACGGUAGCUCAUGAAUAAGCACCGGCUAACUCCGUGCCAGCAGCCGCGGUAAUACGGAGGGUGCAAGCGUUAUUCGGAAUCACUGGGCGUAAAGGACGCGUAGGCGGGAAGCCAAGUCUGAUGUGAAAUCCUAUGGCUUAACCAUAGAACUGCAUUGGAAACUGGUUACCUAGAGUAUGGGAGGGGGAGAUGGAAUUAGUGGUGUAGGGGUAAAAUCCGUAGAUAUCACUAGGAAUACCGAAAGCGAAGGCGAUCUCCUGGAACAAUACUGACGCUAAGGCGUGAAAGCGUGGGGAGCAAACG
rnacentral:rRNA from 1 species